UUCCACGGUUCGCUGCUCUUUGGAGGAAGGGUGCCCAGCAAGUUCAGCAGAGGCCUCUCCUGUCCAGAGGGGUCUCACUGUCCAGGCUGUGGUUUUAUAGUGGCCAUAAAUGCAACACACAGGAGCCGCGUGGUCUGCAGCACUGAUCACCAAGGAUUGCAGGGACUCUCACCUAUGGAGAAGACAGGUGUUGGUAGGAGGUAUGCUGGGAAGAGCUUUGCUAUAUCUCCGGAAGGAAGAAGAUUGUUUCCCCUCGGGGGAUGGCACUUUCAACAUGUGGGAGCUUGUCGGGUCACAGAAGAAUGACAGGUCACGGGAAGUCCUUCAUAGUGUUUCUGUGAAUAGCAGACUGUCACAGGUUGAGUCCCUUGGAACAUAGAUGCUGAGAUUUGCAUUAAGGAAGUUCAUUGAGGGGAGGUGAUGAUCUUUUGUGAACAAUACCUGUGAGUUGUGAAGGGAACAGGAUUUGGUGGAAGAAGAAAUCGCAGCAGAGGCCUCAGGUUGACUCUUAAGAACUGUCCACAUUGAGGCAUGAGGACAGGUCUUUGUACCCCUGCAUGAACCCAUCAUUGGGUGCAAGCUCUCUCCAAGAAGAAGGAAUGGCCUUAGGUGGGCCAUCUCCCUCUGGUCCAGAAUAACUCCUGGAGCUGUGAUACGUCCAGAUGGAGGAAUGAGCACCUCAUUCCCAAAGAGGAAUCUGGGCGGCACCCACUGCAGGGGUGAAAUUAUCAGAGCCAAGAGGCUACUCUAGAUGGGUGCUACUCUAGAUGACUGUAGACUGUUACAAGUCCUCGAUAAGAUGAAGAGCUUGCAUCAAAAUUUAAAGCAACACAAUGCUUCCUUCAUUGAGUCUUGCUAUGAACAAAAAGAAGGCGAAACUGAAUGUGUGCUUAAUGGCAUUGACUUAAGCUCCACCACUAAUGGCUUGUGAACUGGGACGGUUUGCAGACUGGCACCAGUCAGCAAGCCACACUUUGAGUGGCUCUGCUAUAGACUAUGUUCCUGUCCUGUAGUAAAAUCACUCUAGGUCAUUUUCUUAUCAGCUACAUUUGUGAAGUUAACCUUUCUCUGACUUCUAGAGUCUGAGAGAUAAAACUUUGCUUACUGUCUGCUUUCCUAACAUACCUUUUCUUUUUUUUUCCCCAGAGUUGGGAGGUUGAUUCAUCUUAGUAGAUCUUGUCAGAUUGUGUCUGACUACAUAUAUUUGCUUUUCCCAAAUGUCCAAUCUUUGUCAGUUGAGAAAUAUUUGAAGUGCUGACAAGGCUCUUCUGGACAACUCACCUAUCAUUGCAGAGUCUGUAGGAUUAAUUCUUCUUAAUUAUGUUAGUGCUGGGCCAUCAAUCAAGUUUAUUGAUGCUGUCUGGUCAUGUCUAGAAGAUUUAUAGGUAUCUAUAUUCAUCCCACACAGAAGGAACCACAAAUAACUUGGCUAUCUUUGCAAUGUCUUUUUGCAUGAGACAAAUGUUAUACAAUUAUUACAGAAAGCUGUUUAAUAAGUAAGAACUUGCUUUUCUAAGUUUCCUCUGUGGGGUCUUGGAAGGAGAGUUUGGGAAUUUGUAAUAGUCUUCACAAGCAGUUUCUUUUCCCCCCUUUUAACGGAGUUAAAAACCCACUUUUCUGUCCAAGUGUUUUAUUUCCAGUCCAGGAAAUAUUCUCGAGAAUUAUAUGCAAGUUCACUAGGCAGAAUUUAAUCAUUUUUUUUGUACAUGGCCUUGGCUUUCACAUUGUUGAGCAUGAAAUGAUUGGAUUUCAGAUAAUCAGAAGGAAACAGAGUGAAUCUAGAAUCACAGACUCAUGGGAAGUUGGAGCUAAUGUAAACCUGUCUUUCUGUGUCCUGGUUGUCACAGACUCCUGGGAAGUUGGAGCUAAUGUGAACCUGUCUUUCUGUGUCCUGGUUGCACAUCACUGUUCUUAAAGACUGUGACUCUAUCAGUCUGGAGUGAAGCUUCAGUAUCUGCAUAUCUUUAACUCUACAGGUAAGUCUUAUGUUUAUCUAGGUUUGAAGCCCAUGGAUGGGUUACUCCUUUCUUAACCCAGAGAGGGAAGGAACCUGGAUGUGAAGAGCCAAGUGUCUGCACUGAGCGUCAUCAGUGGGAGCUUAACCCAAGUCUUGCGAAAGGAACAUGAAACCAGAGGCGAUGCGGUUGUUGUAAGUGGUAAGCGCUUGAAUGGAAGCUGUGCCAAGCCUUGUGCUGAGUUCAUAAGUGCAUCAUCUUCGAAAAUCUUCACUAUAAUUUAAUAAGUAGGUAUUAUUAUCCUUAUACAUGAGAAAACUGAGAUCUAGAGAGUUUAAUAUUUUGACCAAGAUGAUAUAACUGGUGAGCAGGAGUUAGGGGUUUAACUCAGGCCUUCUGAUUGGAAACUUCUGUUCUCUCUGCUGGAGAAAGAAAGACCAAUGAGGAGACUUGCAGGGGGCCUCCUGUAAUUUCCUUUGGAAGUCAGGUUAUACAAUGUAUGUGCAUGAGAAUUCAUAAACGUCUAAGCAUGUGGUGGUUUGGCAAAUUGAAUAGAAUUCUCAUUAUGCAAGAAAAUAAAGCAGUAGAUAAUAAAGCAGGGAGAAAUGAGAAUGGUUAGAGAAAGAAAAGUGGGAGAAAGUGAUGAAUGAUUGAUGGUGGAAGAAAAGAAUGAUCAGUGAGGACAUACUCUUAGGAACAAAAAGUCCAAGCACUGAGAUUGCUUAGCCAGAGUGUGGAUGUGGUUUCACAUUAAUAGUGGGGAUUGUAGGAUCAAUAGUAGCUGAUAAUCUGUGCCUGAGAAGUCUUUGGAAAGAGACAAACCAGAAUAUAUAUGUCUGGAAGAAAAACAAAUGUGGUAAUUUGUCUAUUCCUGAAUCACUUUUCCUGUAGGCAUCCAAAGGUGAGGAAGCGUGACUUGGCUAAUGCCCUGACCUCCCUUCUGACAUCCAGCUCUCCUACCAGUUACUGAAGGAGAGUUCUGCUCUUUAGACUAGAUGGGCUCAGAGCUUUGAUUUGCAUACUAGAUGUCCUCCUAUGGUUAUCUUGUUUAGGUUUUCCUGACCUCCUCAUUUAUAGCAGAUUAUUAGGAAUAAAUGUAUUGGCACCUGGUAAGUAAAAAUAAUGACCAAAGUCUUUACACAUCUAAACGUCUACCUGUAAUUUGGAAUAGAAAAGUUCUCACAAGUGAAGAAGUAUUAUACAAAAUAUAUUGAACUUCAACCAGUCUUGAAGAGUCAAGAUCUUCCUUAGGGCAUUAAGACUUGUUGAACACCUGGUGCUCUCCGAAGCUAUGGAGACAUGUAGAUUAGUUAUUCUUGUUCUCAGUGACCCCAGAUCACUGACCUUUUUCAAAUCUGUCUACUUUUGGUAUUUCUGUCUCUUUUCUAACAGUUACACAUUUUAAAAGCAGGUCUCUCCACCAUUGGUGAAUGUUUCUCCUGCAUUCUCCCUCUAUAAUUUGCUUUUAGAUGACAAAUAUUAUAAUAUUAAUUCUAUUUUAUGUACUAUUUCAGGGUAAUAGUCUGUCAGGGCCUGCAGGGUAUUCUUUCUCUGCAAAGUGCAAUUUCUGACAGUCAUUACACAAUUAUCUCUUAAAUAAAAUGAAACAUACUGCUAGACAUUUAAAUAGCUGUUCAUUUGAACACAUUGCUUCCAAAGGAGAAAUCAAGAUAAUUAUCCCAAUUAUGAGCACACAAAUAAUUAUUUAAUUAGUUGUCUGCCUUGCCUGCUAGAUGAUCACUUCAUAAGAGAAGACUCUGGUGUUUUUCUCAAUGCUUAAUUUCUAUUCCUACUUUAACACAUUUAUGCAUAGUGCGCUUCAUAUAACAGUGAAAAGAAUGUUUGCACUCUAAUAGAUUUUACAUUUUCUAGUUGAGGUAGAGAUAAUGAAGAGAUAAAUAGUUAUAAAAUGUCAGGGGUAAUGACUAUUGAAAAGGAUGCAAGGCACGCAGGAGGGAGUGGAGGGUGCUGGGUUAGUCUGUGGCUGGGCCUACGGUGCUUACACACUUAUCUGCGGCCCUGUCUGUCAUAAAUGGCUACAGCGUUCAGGCAUCUGCCUGCUGACUGCCUACAUGGGGUUGUGUCAAUACAUGUUGGAGAUAAAUCAAACAACUGUGCCUCACGCCCAAGAGUAACUCUAUGAUUACUUAGUAUAAGAAACUUAUCGACAUUUCUCCCUAUGUGGAAUUAGAGAAAGUGAAGUUCUGAUGUUUGGAAGAAUGAUGAAGAAGCUACGAUGCCAGAAACCAGGUGGGACAUAGAAAAAGGAGGAGUUGUUCCCUGAAGAAUUAGCCUUGGAAGGCAAAUUCCAAGAUUUCCUGGGCAGCCAUGACACAGUAAGGAGCUUUCUCAGGAACAAAGAAAGAAAUUUUUACUCUGUUAAAAACAAACAAACAAACAAACAACAACUGAGGUAAGGGAAUGAAUGACCAUUAAAAAAGGGGAUGAAACGGAAUGCCCUGUGAGGCCCAUUGACUUCUGUGGAGUCAGCUCUGGGGCUGGUCUUGCCUCUCAGAGCACAGACCUCCACUUCUUGUCUACCCAGUGUUUUUUUUUGUUUUUAUUUUUUGAGACAGAGUCUCACGCUGUCACCCAGGCUGGAGUGCAGUGGCGCAAUCUUGGCUCACUGCAACCUCCGCCUCCCAGGUUCAAGUGAUUCUCCUGCCUCAGCCUCCUGAGUAGCUGGGAUUACAGGCACGCACCACCACGCCUGGCUAAUUUUUGUAUUUUUAUUAGAGAUGGGGUUUCACCAUGUUGGCCAGGCUGGUCUCGAACUCCUGACCUCAGGUGAUCCACCCACCUCAGCCUCCCAAAGUGCUGGAUUACAGGCAUGAGCCACCGUGCCCUGCCCAGUGUGUUGUUUUUAAUUCAUUAAUUCAAUGAGUUGUUUUUAAUUCAUUUUUUCAAACUAUUUUAUAC
rnacentral:lncRNA from 1 species